GACGAACGCUGGCGGCGUGCCUAAUACAUGCAAGUAGAACGCUGAAGAGAGGAGCUUGCUCUUCUUGGAUGAGUUGCGAACGGGUGAGUAACGCGUAGGUAACCUGCCUUGUAGCGGGGGAUAACUAUUGGAAACGAUAGCUAAUACCGCAUAACAAUGGAUGACACAUGUCUUUUAUUUGAAAGGGGCAAUUGCUCCACUACAAGAUGGACCUGCGUUGUAUUAGCUAGUAGGUGAGGUAAUGGCUCACCUAGGCGACGAUACAUAGCCGACCUGAGGGGGUGAUCGGCCACACUGGGACGGAGACACGGCCCAGACUCCUACGGGAGGCAGCAGUAGGGAAUCUUCGGCAAUGGGGGCAACCCUGACCGAGCAACGCCGCGUGAGGGAAGAAGGGUUUCGGAUCGGAAAGCUCGGUUGUAAGUCAAGAACGGGUGUGAGAGUGGAAAGUUCACACUGUGACGGUAGCUUACCAGAAAGGGACGGCUAACUACGUG
rnacentral:rRNA from 1 species